rnacentral:lncRNA from 1 species
UUAUACCAAUGAAAUGAUUCACUGUAUGUCCCUAGAGAGCUUCUGGAUGGGAGCUGGGAAGACCCACUCUGUGAUUAGAAGAUCCGGAUUUUGAGACAUGCUAUCACCCUGACCUCCUAAACUCCAGGGAGGAGAGGAAGGAUCUAGAGGUGGAGAUCCAUCACAUGGCCAGUGUUCAAUAAAUCAUGCCUAGGUAAUGGAAUCCCUGGAUGCAGUCAAUAGAGCAUCCUGCUUGGUGACAACAUGGAUGUGCAGGGAGGGUGGCGCUAGCUGAUUCUAUGAGAAGAAAGCACAGAAGCUGCAUCCUAGACCUUUCCAGACCUUAUCUUACAUGGCUUUUGUUUGGCUAUACUCAUAGGUCAGCAUUUUCCUGAGUUCUGUGGAUUGUUCUAAUAAAUUAUCUAAUCCAAGAAGCUCAUGGGGACACGGCAGGUUUGUAGCAAGUUAUUCAGAAGUGAGGGCAACUUGUUGUGUAUCAUCCCCUUUACCUUGUAGGACGUGAAUUGACUUUGGUUGGUUCAUGCCAGAGUUGAAUUGCAGCACACCAGCUGAUGUCAGAAUAAUGUCCAACUGGGAUUAACUGUAGGUCAGCAGAGUUGAUUAAACAUCCAAAAAUCAGUUAAUAAUAUACCAUAUCAAUGGAAACCAAUUCCUCCCUGGAACCUCAGAGGUAGAAUGGCCCUACCAACACCUUGAGGGUGGACUUAGAGCAUCCAGAACUGUGAGAGGCAAAAAAACAAAACAAAAUAAAACAAAAAAAACAGAAACAAACAAACAAAAAACCACCUGGGGCUGUGGGUAUAACUCAGUGUCGAAGUGUUGUUGCCCA